rnacentral:rRNA from 1 species
AUUGAACGCUGGCGGCAGGCCUAACACAUGCAAGUCGAACGAGCGGCGGACGGGUGAGUAAUGUCUGGGAAACUGCCUGAUGGAGGGGGAUAACUACUGGAAACGGUAGCUAAUACCGCAUACCAUCAGAUGUGCCCAGAGGGGAUGAGCUAGUAGGUGGGGUAAUGGCUCACCUAGGGGACGAGCCCUAGCUGGUCUGAGAGGAUGACCAGCCACACUGGACCUGGGACACGGUCCAGACUCCUACGGGAGGCAGCAGUGGGGAAUAUUGCACAAUGGGCGCAAGCCUGAUGCAGCCAUGCCGCGUGUGUGAAGAAGGCCUUCGGGUUGUAAAGCACUUUCAGCGAGGAGGCGUUACUCGCAGAAGAAGCACCGGCUAACUCCGUGCCAGCAGCCGCGGUAAUUC